CGCCUGUUUAUCAAAACAUUUUUUUAUACAAAAAUAGAGUAAGGCCUGCCCAGUGAAAAUUUAACGGCUGCGGUAUUCUGACCGUGCUAAGGUAGCAUAAUCAUUUGGGUUUUAAUUGUAUCCUGGCAUGAAAGGUCAAACAAAGACAUGUUUCUUAGGUUUAAACAUAAAAUUUAAGUUUUAAGUAAAAACGCUUAAAUGAUUGCGGGACGACAAGACCCUAAAAGCUUAAUCUUUUACGUUUACACAUAAAUAAUCUGUUGUUUAUAUUAAGAUUUAGUUGGGGUAACAACUUUAAUAAUAUUAAAGUGAUUCAGAUUUAAUAAAAAGAUAAAGAUCCUUAAAAUUAAGAUAAUAGUAAAAGUUACUUUAGGGGUAACAGGGUUAUUAUUUUAUGGAGUUCUUAUCUACAAAAUAGAUUGCCACCUCGAUGUUGAAUUAAGAGUUCUGCGCGGUGCAAAAGAUGCGUAAGAAGGUUUGUUCAACCUUUAAUUUCUUACAUGAUCUGAGUUCAAACCGGAG
rnacentral:rRNA from 1 species